UUCGGUCUUUGGAACAACUGCUGUUGGGAAUUGUAAUCGAAGAGCCCCACGGUGGCUGCGGCUGAGUCCACAGGUACCUGGGUGCCAGAAUAAUCGAACUGCAGAGGCUCCAUGCCAACGUGCUCCAUGGGAUCCAGGGGAACACUCUGUGACUCUAUGUUGGAAAAAUCCUCCACGGGCUUGGCACCAUUAGUACUCGCCAGCUGGGCUAAGCCCUCAGAUCCAUUCUGGUUUGGACCCAGAAGAUCAACUUCACUAGCAGAGUUCUGGCAAUUACCAGGUGUACGGCUGAAGUCUUUGACAUCUGUGUCGAUUCCAUUCUGCACAGGCAAACCAUUUGUUUUAUCCAUCACAUCCCCCUCCUCCUUCAGAUCUCCUAAUUUAUCGCCAUCAAAUGUGCCCUUAUUUUUCUUAUCCCCUUUGUCAUUCUCAUCAUUCUCUGCAUCCCUUGGCCCAAAUCCUCCUUUCCUUAGGCAGGAAUCUCCGGGAGAUGAGCUCAACACAUAUUCCACCAUGCUAACUCCAAGUCCUCCACUCUCUGACCGUGGUGAAAGCACUGAGUUGACUUCACUAUUCACAUGAAAGCCCUGACCAGGUCUUCUCUGAACCAUAAUUGGUUGGGAAACAGAGUGAUCUGAUGUUCCCCAAGCACUGUCUCUCCACUGAUCUCCCAGAAAUAUCCCUUUUGGUCCAUCUUUGCUGGAAUCAUCAGAUUCCCAAAACUUUUUACCCGGCAACAGCUGCUCUCCCAUAGCCCGUCCUUCCAGAGCAAGCGCUUGAAAAUCAUGGUUCAGCUCAUCCAUAGAACGCACCUGAUGUUCUGCAUGAAUGUUAUCCCCAGUAGGCCAGCGAUGUUUGCUGUUAUUAUAGCCGCCUCCACCACUUCCUCCUCCCCCAAGCUGCUCACCAUGCUGCCUCUGAAAGAAGUAAUCCACCAUAGCGUCGUCCUGGGAGCGGCCUGCAACUCCUAUGGAUCCAGGAACAGGACUGGAGUGUGUCCCUGCUGCAAGAGCCUGGUUUGCAGCUGGCUGUGGCUGAGCCUGGGACCCUGUUCCAGAUGUCAAUACAACAGGCAUGUUGGGAUUAGCUGUAUCUUGAGCGUGCUGUUUCAGGUGGGGGCUGAACGAGUCCUGCCAGAGCACUGCUUUUCUCUUCAACACACACGCAACGCUCAUUCCACCAACACGGGCGGAGCGGUAGGAUGAAGCUGGAUCUCGGCCCCCCCCAGGCCGCUCGCCGCCUGCCUCUCCCCCUGCCUUUCACUCCGACAACAUGGCGGCCCACUGGGGACGGGCGGCGCGCUGCAUGCCGGGAAGGCGAGGCGGCCCGGCCGAGGGCGGCCCGACCGCGGCCUUGGGUAGGCCCGGCGCGGCUUGGGGGCGGCUCUGCGCGGCCUGGGAUCGGCUCAGCGACGUUUCUGGUGUUCCCCGAGCCGGGCUUUCACCGCUCGCUGGUCUCCAUUCCCAUUUUCAC
rnacentral:lncRNA from 1 species